GCACUGGUCGUCUAGCGGCCAAGACUCCGCACCCGUAAUGCGGUGACGCCGGUUCGAGUCCGGCCCGGUGCUC
rnacentral:tRNA from 1 species